AAUUUUGGACAAUGGGGGAAACCCUGAUCCAGCCAUCGCGCGUGUAUGAUGAAGGCCUNCGGGUUNUNAAGUACUUUUGGCAGAGNAGAAAAGGUAUCUCCUAAUACGAGAUACUGCUGACGGUAUCUGCAGAAUAAGCACCGGCUGACUACGUGCCAUCCGCCGCGGUAAUACGUAGGGUGCAAGCGUUAAGCGGAAUUACUGGGCGUAAAGCGUGUGUAGGCGGUUCGGAAAGAAAGAUGUGAAAUCCCAGGGAUCAACCUUGGAACUGCAUUUUUAACUGCCGAGCUAGAGUAUGUCAGAGGGGGGUAGAAUUCCACGUGUAGAAGUGAAAUGCGUAGAUAUGUGGAGGAAUACCGAUGGCGAAGGCAGCCCCCUGGGAUAAUACUGACGCUCAGACACGAAAGCGUGGGGAGCAAACAGG
rnacentral:rRNA from 1 species